AACGCACAUUGCGCCCCUUGGUAUUCCAUGGGGCAUGCCUGUUCGAGCGUCAUUUACACCCUCAAGCUCCGCUUGGUGUUGGGCGUCUGUCCUCGCUGUUUGCGUGGACUCGCCCCAAAGGUAUUGGCAGCGGUCUUGCCAGCUUCUCGCGCAGCACAUUGCGCUUCUGGAGGCUUCGGCGGAUCGGCGUCCAUCAAGUCCACACCCACAGUUUGACCUCGGAUCAGGUAGGGAUACCCGCUGAACUUAA
rnacentral:misc_RNA from 2 species